rnacentral:rRNA from 1 species
GACGAACGCUGGCGGCGUGCUUAACACAUGCAAGUCGAACGGAAAGGCCCUGCUUUUGUGGGGUGCUCGAGUGGCGAACGGGUGAGUAACACGUGAGUAACCUGCCCUUGACUUUGGGAUAACUUCAGGAAACUGGGGCUAAUACCGGAUAGGAGCUCCUGCUGCAUGGUGGGGGUUGGAAAGUUUCGGCGGUUGGGGAUGGACUCGCGGCUUAUCAGCUUGUUGGUGGGGUAGUGGCUUACCAAGGCUUUGACGGGUAGCCGGCCUGAGAGGGUGACCGGCCACAUGGGGACUGAGAUAGGGCCCAGACUCCUACGGGAGGCAGCAGUGGAGAAUAUUGCACAAUGGGCGGAAGCCUGAUGCAGCAACGCCGCGUGCGGGAUGACGGCCUUCGGGUUGUAAACCGCUUUCGCCUGUGACGAAGCGUGAGUGACGGUAAUGGGUAAAGAAGCACCGGCUAACUACGUG